GUACUUGGUGUUACUGCGAAGGGGGGACGGAGAAGGCUAUGUUGGCCGGGCGACGGUUGUCCCGGUUUAAGCGUGUAGGUGUGUGUUCCAGGUAAAUCCGGUUCACUUUAACACUGAGGCGUGACGACGAGGCACUACGGUGCUGAAGCAACAAAUGCCCUGCUUCCAGGAAAAGCCUCUAAGCAUCAGGUAACAUCAAAUCGUACCCCAAACCGACACAGGUGGUCAGGUAGAGAAUACCAAGGCGCUUGAGAGAACUCGGGUGAAGGAACUAGGCAAAAUGGUGCCGUAACUUCGGGAGAAGGCACGCUGACACGUAGGUGAAGUGAUUUACUCAUGGAGCUGAAGUCAGUCGAAGAUACCAGCUGGCUGCAACUGUUUAUUAAAAACACAGCACUGUGCAAACACGAAAGUGGACGUAUACGGUGUGACGCCUGCCCGGUGCCGGAAGGUUAAUUGAUGGGGUCAGCGCAAGCGAAGCUCCUGAUCGAAGCCCCGGUAAACGGCGGCCGUAACUAUAACGGUCCUAAGGUAGCGAAAUUCCUUGUCGGGUAAGUUCCGACCUGCACGAAUGGCGUAAUGAUGGCCAGGCUGUCUCCACCCGAGACUCAGUGAAAUUGAACUCGCUGUGAAGAUGCAGUGUACCCGCGGCAAGACGGAAAGACCCCGUGAACCUUUACUAUAGCUUGACACUGAACAUUGAGCCUUGAUGUGUAGGAUAGGUGGGAGGCUUUGAAGUGUGGACGCCAGUCUGCAUGGAGCCGACCUUGAAAUACCACCCUUUAAUGUUUGAUGUUCUAACGUGGACCCGUUACCCGGGUUGCGGACAGUGUCUGGUGGGUAGUUUGACUGGGGCGGUCUCCUCCUAAAGAGUAACGGAGGAGCACGAAGGUUGGCUAAUCCUGGUCGGACAUCAGGAGGUUAGUGCAAUGGCAUAAGCCAGCUUGACUGCGAGCGUGACGGCGCGAGCAGGUGCGAAAGCAGGUCAUAGUGAUCCGGUGGUUCUGAAUGGAAGGGCCAUCGCUCAACGGAUAAAAGGUACUCCGGGGAUAACAGGCUGAUACCGCCCAAGAGUUCAUAUCGACGGCGGUGUUUGGCACCUCGAUGUCGGCUCAUCACAUCCUGGGGCUGAAGUAGGUCCCAAGGGUAUGGCUGUUCGCCAUUUAAAGUGGUACGCGAGCUGGGUUUAGAACGUCGUGAGACAGUUCGGUCCCUAUCUGCCGUGGGCGCUGGAGAACUGAGGGGGGCUGCUCCUAGUACGAGAGGACCGGAGUGGACGCAUCACUGGUGUUCGGGUUGUCAUGCCAAUGGCACUGCCCGGUAGCUAAAUGCGGAAGAGAUAAGUGCUGAAAGCAUCUAAGCACGAAACUUGCCCCGAGAUGAGUUCUCCCUGAGACUUAGAGUCUCCUGAAGGAACGUUGAAGACGACGACGUUGAUAGGCCGGGUGUGUAAGCGCAGCGAUGCGUUGAGCUAACCGGUACUAAUGAACCGUGAGGCUUAACCUUACAACGCCGAAG
rnacentral:rRNA from 1 species